rnacentral:rRNA from 1 species
GACGAACGCUGGCGGCGUGCCUAAUACAUGCAAGUAGAACGCUGAAGGAGGAGCUUGCUUCUCUGGAUGAGUUGCGAACGGGUGAGUAACGCGUAGGUAACCUGCCUGGUAGCGGGGGAUAACUAUUGGAAACGAUAGCUAAUACCGCAUAAUAGCAGUUGUUGCAUGACAACUGUUUGAAAGGUGCAAAUGCAUCACUACCAGAUGGACCUGCGUUGUAUUAGCUAGUUGGUGGGGUAAAGGCUCACCAAGGCGACGAUACAUAGCCGACCUGAGAGGGUGGGCGGACGGCAGGAGACGAUCUCCCGCAGCAGACGGCCACGGGAGCGGGCAGCAGGGAAUCAUCGGAGAUGGUCGGCAGUCCGACCGGGCAAGGCCGCAUGAGUGAAGGAGGGUUUCGGAUCGUAAAGCUCUGGGUGAAGAGAAGAAAGCGGGUGAGGAUGGAAAGUUCACACUGUGACGGUAUCUUACCAGAAAGAGACGGCUAACUACGGG